AACCCUAGAGAUAGGGCUUCUCCUUCGGGAGCAGAGUGACAGGUGGUGCAUGGUUGUCGUCAGCUCGUGUCGUGAGAUGUUGGGUUAAGUCCCGCAACGAGCGCAACCCUUGAUCUUAGUUGCCAUCAUUUAGUUGGGCACUCUAAGGUGACUGCCGGUGACAAACCGGAGGAAGGUGGGGAUGACGUCAAAUCAUCAUGCCCCUUAUGACCUGGGCUACACACGUGCUACAAUGGACGGUACAAAGAGCUGCAAGACCGCGAGGUGGAGCUAAUCUCAUAAAACCGUUCUCAGUUCGGAUUGUAGGCUGCAACUUGCCUACAUGAAGCUGGAAUCGCUAGUAAUCGCGGAUCAGCAUGCCGCGGUGAAUACGUUCCCGGGCCUUGUACACACCGCCCGUCACACCACGAGAGUUUGUAACACCCGAAGUCGGUGGGGUAACCUUUUUGGAGCCAGCCGCCUAAGGUGGGACAGAUGAUUGGGGUGAAGUCGUAACAAGG
rnacentral:rRNA from 1 species